GCCGUUGUCGUAUAGUGGCAGUACAUCGCGUUGUGGCCGCGCUAGCCCUGGUUCGAUUCCAGGCAACGGCA
rfam:Rhizophagus irregularis DAOM 181602 strain DAOM 197198 GLOINscaffold_14499_Cont14460, whole genome shotgun sequence.